GACGGAGGAGGCAAGCGUUAUCCGGAAUUAUUGGGCGUAAAGCGUCCGCAGGCGGCUUUCCAAGUCUGCUGUCAAAGCCCGAGGCUUAACCUCGGAUCGGCGGUGGAAACUGGAUCGCUAGAGUACGUCAGGGGUAGGGGGAAUUCCCGGUGUAGCGGUGAAAUUCGUAGAUAUAGGGAAGAACACCAGCGACGAAAGUGCCCUACUGGGACGUUACUGACACUCAUGGACGAAAGCUAGGGGAGCGAAAGGG
rnacentral:rRNA from 1 species